CUAGGGCUCAAGGACCCCAGAUCCUUCAGCAAGCUCAUCACUGACACAGACAGCGACUCACUCCUGAGGAUCAACCACUACCCUCCAGCAUGCACCAUUCAGAAGCUUGACCAUGACAACCAAUGCAAGAUGAAGAGCAGUUUCAGAAUCAAGACUGGCAAUGGUGUGAACCAGUCAGCAGGUGCACGGAUCGGAUUCGGGGAGCAUUCAGACCCGCAGAUUCUUAGCUUGCUCCGAUCAAACGAUGUUGACGGCCUUCAGGUGCUUCUGAACUGCGACGGCAGGGAGGUGUGGGUUCAGGUGCCAUCCGAUCCAUCAGCAUUCUUUGUCAAUGUUGGUGAUCUCCUCCAGGUAAAGGCAUCAGUUUACCUGAAAAUAAACAGCACUAGUAGAUAAAGUAAAUGAAAAUUGCUUCUAUGAGCUACUUAGAAAUUAAAUUAGCAGACUCUUAAGUCUAAAACAAGCACAGAGGCUAGGCACAACUCAGCACCCCCACCAUUAGUACUCACAUAUGAAAUUGCAUUAUGCAACUCCCGUCUCAGUGCAUCAUAGAAAUAGAUUCUUCACUUACUAAAAACAUGAAAAAGAAAUGUAUCUCUAUUUGAUUCGAACUCUAAAUAGACACCAGGUUAGCUAUUGCUCCUUUUGUGAAAAGAUGGGUCGGCACUGAUAUUUUUGGACACAUCUCUUGGACUGCAUCAAGUACAUCAUACCAACUGACAAGAAUUUCUGUUUUUGUCUUGUUAGUUGUUACUACAUCUGAAUCUAACAAUAACCAGAUAUCAAUCCAUAGUGCAACAAUACAAUAUUAUGUCUCUCAUACUUGGUUUGUAUUCAUCUCUCCUUUCCCUUUCUUGUUCCCAGGCUUUGACAAAUGGGAAGGUGAUAAGUGUCCGGCACAGGGUAAUUGCAAACUCCUGCAGGGCAAGGCUGUCCACAAUCUACUUCGCUGCGCCGCCACUGCAUGCACGAAUUUUGGCCCUCCCAGAGACAAUCACAGCCAACUCACCCCGCCAGUACCGGCCCUUCACCUGGGCCGAGUACAAGAAGACAAUGUACUCCCUCCGCCUGAGCCACAGCCGCCUCAACCUCUUCCACAUCGACCAUGAUGACCACAGCAAUGUCGGCAAAGGAGAACAAGAAUAGGGAGCACUUGC
rnacentral:lncRNA from 1 species